rnacentral:rRNA from 1 species
CCUACGGUGAGCAGCAGUGGGGAAUAUUGCACAAUGGGGGAAACCCUGAUGCAGCGACGCCGCGUGAGUGAAGAAGUAUUUCGGUACGUAAAGCUCUAUCAGCAGGGAAGAACAUGACGGUACCUGACUAAGAAGCCCUGGCUAAAUACGUGCCAGCCGCCGCGGUAAUACGUAGGGGGCAAGCGUUAGCCGGAUUUACUGGGUGUAAAGGGAGAGGAGACGGCAGCGCAAGUCUGAAGUGAAAUCCCAUGGCUUAACCAUGGAACUGCUUUGGAAACUGUGCAGCUGGAGUGCCGGAGAGGUAAGCGGAAUGCCUAGUGUAGCGGUGAAAUGCGUAGAUAUUAGGAGGAACACCAGUGGCGAAGGCGGCUUACUGGACUGUAACUGACGUUGAGGCUCGAAAGCGUGGGGAGCAAACAGGAUUAGAUACCCGUGUAGUC